rnacentral:rRNA from 1 species
UACAGAGGAUGCAAGCGUUAUCCGGAAUCACUGGGCAUAAAGCGUCUGUAGGUUGCGAAUUAAGUCUGUUGUUAAAGACUAGGGCUCAACCCUGGAACAGCAAUGGAAACUAAUACGCUUGAGUAUGGUAGAGGUAGAGGGAAUUCCUGGUGUAGCGGUGAAAUGCGUAGAUAUUAGGAAGAACACCAAUGGCGAAAGCACUCUACUGGGCCACAACUGACACUGAGAGACGACAGCUAGGGGAGCAAAUGGG